rnacentral:rRNA from 1 species
UUAAGCGACUAAGCGUACACGGUGGAUGCCCUGGCAGUCAGAGGCGAUGAAGGACGUGCUAAUCUGCGAUAAGCGUCGGUAAGGUGAUAUGAACCGUUAUAACCGACGAUUUCCGAAUGGGGAAACCCAGUGUGUUUCGACACACUAUCAUUAACUGAAUCCAUAGGUUAAUGAGGCGAACCGGGGGAACUGAAACAUCUAAGUACCCCGAGGAAAAGAAAUCAACCGAGAUUCCCCCAGUAGCGGCGAGCGAACGGGGAGGAGCCCAGAGCCUGAAUCAGUGUGUGUGUUAGUGGAAGCGUCUGGAAAGGCGCGCGAUACAGGGUGACAGCCCCGUACACAAAAAUGCACAUGCUGUGAGCUCGAUGAGUAGGGCGGGACACGUGGUAUCCUGUCUGAAUAUGGGGGGACCAUCCUCCAAGGCUAAAUACUCCUGACUGACCGAUAGUGAACCAGUACCGUGAGGGAAAGGCGAAAAGAACCCCGGCGAGGGGAGUGAAAAAGAACCUGAAACCGUGUACGUACAAGCAGUGGGAGCACGCUUAGGCGUGUGACUGCGUACCUUUUGUAUAAUGGGUCAGCGACUUAUAUUCUGUAGCAAGGUUAACCGAAUAGGGGAGCCGAAGGGAAACCGAGUCUUAACUGGGCGUUAAGUUGCAGGGUAUAGACCCGAAACCCGGUGAUCUAGCCAUGGGCAGGUUGAAGGUUGGGUAACACUAACUGGAGGACCGAACCGACUAAUGUUGAAAAAUUAGCGGAUGACUUGUGGCUGGGGGUGAAAGGCCAAUCAAACCGGGAGAUAGCUGGUUCUCCCCGAAAGCUAUUUAGGUAGCGCCUCGUGAAUUCAUCUCCGGGGGUAGAGCACUGUUUCGGCAAGGGGGUCAUCCCGACUUACCAACCCGAUGCAAACUGCGAAUACCGGAGAAUGUUAUCACGGGAGACACACGGCGGGUGCUAACGUCCGUCGUGAAGAGGGAAACAACCCAGACCGCCAGCUAAGGUCCCAAAGUCAUGGUUAAGUGGGAAACGAUGUGGGAAGGCCCAGACAGCCAGGAUGUUGGCUUAGAAGCAGCCAUCAUUUAAAGAAAGCGUAAUAGCUCACUGGUCGAGUCGGCCUGCGCGGAAGAUGUAACGGGGCUAAACCAUGCACCGAAGCUGCGGCAGCGACGCUUAUGCGUUGUUGGGUAGGGGAGCGUUCUGUAAGCCUGCGAAGGUGUGCUGUGAGGCAUGCUGGAGGUAUCAGAAGUGCGAAUGCUGACAUAAGUAACGAUAAAGCGGGUGAAAAGCCCGCUCGCCGGAAGACCAAGGGUUCCUGUCCAACGUUAAUCGGGGCAGGGUGAGUCGACCCCUAAGGCGAGGCCGAAAGGCGUAGUCGAUGGGAAACAGGUUAAUAUUCCUGUACUUGGUGUUACUGCGAAGGGGGGACGGAGAAGGCUAUGUUGGCCGGGCGACGGUUGUCCCGGUUUAAGCGUGUAGGCUGGUUUUCCAGGCAAAUCCGGAAAAUCAAGGCUGAGGCGUGAUGACGAGGCACUACGGUGCUGAAGCAACAAAUGCCCUGCUUCCAGGAAAAGCCUCUAAGCAUCAGGUAACAUCAAAUCGUACCCCAAACCGACACAGGUGGUCAGGUAGAGAAUACCAAGGCGCUUGAGAGAACUCGGGUGAAGGAACUAGGCAAAAUGGUGCCGUAACUUCGGGAGAAGGCACGCUGAUAUGUAGGUGAAGUCCCUUGCGGAUGGAGCUGAAAUCAGUCGAAGAUACCAGCUGGCUGCAACUGUUUAUUAAAAACACAGCACUGUGCAAACACGAAAGUGGACGUAUACGGUGUGACGCCUGCCCGGUGCCGGAAGGUUAAUUGAUGGGGUUAGCGGUAACGCGAAGCUCUUGAUCGAAGCCCCGGUAAACGGCGGCCGUAACUAUAACGGUCCUAAGGUAGCGAAAUUCCUUGUCGGGUAAGUUCCGACCUGCACGAAUGGCGUAAUGAUGGCCAGGCUGUCUCCACCCGAGACUCAGUGAAAUUGAACUCGCUGUGAAGAUGCAGUGUACCCGCGGCAAGACGGAAAGACCCCGUGAACCUUUACUAUAGCUUGACACUGAACAUUGAGCCUUGAUGUGUAGGAUAGGUGGGAGGCUUUGAAGUGUGGACGCCAGUCUGCAUGGAGCCGACCUUGAAAUACCACCCUUUAAUGUUUGAUGUUCUAACGUGGACCCGUAAUCCGGGUUGCGGACAGUGUCUGGUGGGUAGUUUGACUGGGGCGGUCUCCUCCUAAAGAGUAACGGAGGAGCACGAAGGUUGGCUAAUCCUGGUCGGACAUCAGGAGGUUAGUGCAAUGGCAUAAGCCAGCUUGACUGCGAGCGUGACGGCGCGAGCAGGUGCGAAAGCAGGUCAUAGUGAUCCGGUGGUUCUGAAUGGAAGGGCCAUCGCUCAACGGAUAAAAGGUACUCCGGGGAUAACAGGCUGAUACCGCCCAAGAGUUCAUAUCGACGGCGGUGUUUGGCACCUCGAUGUCGGCUCAUCACAUCCUGGGGCUGAAGUAGGUCCCAAGGGUAUGGCUGUUCGCCAUUUAAAGUGGUACGCGAGCUGGGUUUAGAACGUCGUGAGACAGUUCGGUCCCUAUCUGCCGUGGGCGCUGGAGAACUGAGGGGGGCUGCUCCUAGUACGAGAGGACCGGAGUGGACGCAUCACUGGUGUUCGGGUUGUCAUGCCAAUGGCACUGCCCGGUAGCUAAAUGCGGAAGAGAUAAGUGCUGAAAGCAUCUAAGCACGAAACUUGCCCCGAGAUGAGUUCUCCCUGACUCCUUGAGAGUCCUGAAGGAACGUUGAAGACGACGACGUUGAUAGGCCGGGUGUGUAAGCGCAGCGAUGCGUUGAGCUAACCGGUACUAAUGAACCGUGAGGCUUAACCUU